rnacentral:rRNA from 1 species
GUGAACGCUGGCGGUAGGCCUAACACAUGCAAGUCGAACGGCAGCACAGUAAGAGCUUGCUCUUACGGGUGGCGAGUGGCGGACGGGUGAGGAAUACAUCGGGAUCUACUUUUUCGUGGGGGAUAACGUAGGGAAACUUACGCUAAUACCGCAUACGACCUACGGGUGAAAGCAGGGGAUCUUCGGACCUUGCGCGAUUGAAUGAGCCGAUGUCGGAUUAGCUAGUUGGCGGGGUAAAGGCCCACCAAGGCGACGAUCCGUAGCUGGUCUGAGAGGAUGAUCAGCCACACUGGAACUGAGACACGGUCCAGACUCCUACGGGAGGCAGCAGUGGGGAAUAUUGGACAAUGGGCGCAAGCCUGAUCCAGCCAUACCGCGUGGGUGAAGAAGGCCUUCGGGUUGUAAAGCCCUUUGUUGGGAAAGAAAAGCAGCAGGUUAAUACCCCGCUGUUCUGACGGUACCCAAAGAAUAAGCACCGGCUAACUUCGUG